AUUGCACGCUGGCGGCAGGCCUAACACAUGCAAGUCGAGCGAGCGGCGGACGGGUGAGUAAUGUCUGGGAAACUGCCUGAUGGAGGGGGAUAACUACUGGAAACGGUAGCUAAUACCGCAUACCAUCAGAUGUGCCCAGAUGGGAUUAGCUCGUAGGGUGGGUAACGGCUCACCUCGGCGACGCUCCCUAGCUGGUCUGAGAGGAUGACCAGCCAGACUGGAACGGAGACACGUUCCAGCCUCCCAGGGGAGGCAGCAGUGGGGAAUAUUGCACAAUGGGCGCAAGCCUGAUGCAGCCAUGCCGCGUGUGUGAAGAAGGCGUUCGGGUUGUAAAGCACUUUCAGCGGGGAGGCGUUACCCGCAGAAGAAGCACCGGCUAACUCCGUGCCAGCAGCCGCGGUAAUAC
rnacentral:rRNA from 1 species